UUUUAAUAAGUAUAUGUUGUAUAUUUACCUUCCAAGUAAAAGGACAGAUUUUCCUGAUUAUAUU
rnacentral:tRNA from 1 species